ensembl:lncRNA
CUGUUGGAUGCAGCUUCCAGUGGCAGAUUUCUUCUUCCUGUGCUAGUACCAAGCUCACAGGGCCCAGCAGGAGGGACUCUGUGAGAAGUGGGAUUUGCCCUCUUUAACAGCAGUAAUGUCCCAGGACAGUCCUGGCACUGCAAACAUGUUUUCCCUCUGCAGUUUGCAGUAACACUCAGGAAUAUCCGAACUCUUGCAAAGCAAAGCUUGAUUAAAGGAUGGGUUUAGUCUCGGUGAGAUUCCAAGGACUCCUCCUUUGAAGCAGCGUGUGCAGAAGGAUCUGAAGUGUUCCUAUACCCUCCAAGUUUCAGACGGAUUUUGGAAAACAUGUAACCUUCCCCUAACCGUCCCCAAGAGCAGACAAGGGGAGUGUGAUUGACAUUUGCUCCAAGCAGCAGCCUGAUUGCUGAGAUCUUGCAGACAGCUGGUUCCUUGGAAAUAAGAAGUAGACCUCACAGCCCUGGACUUUACUGAAGGCAUGAGUAUUCUGGUCAAGUACAAGAAGAGGAAGGAGGAAAGAGAAACACCUGCAGCCGCAAAAGCUCUGGACGCCGCUAAGAGGAACCCAGCGCCGAACAGAAAAAAACCGAGGUUCCCGGAUCCUCUUCGCAUCUCUGCUCUCUACCCCAGCGGGAGACAGCCACGCUGCGGGGGCAGCCGUGCUGCAGGGGGCCUUAAGGGGAGAAGACUUACCCCAGGACAGAGAGGGAGGUUUUGGCAGUUUGCUGGAUGGACUGAGCCUGAAGAACGGCGCAUCAGAGCUUGCUGCUGAUGGCAUUUGCCUGAGAACACCACAGACUAAUAGUGGCCGAACCCAAGGCUUCGGGGACAAGCCUUGGUUAACAGGAACACCUAAAUCUCUAGAACAGCCAAACCAUGAAAGAAAAUGUUCCCAGUUCAGCGUAAUUUUUCCAUCACCUGAGAAGAACAAUCGAGCCACCACUGCCCGUGCCUGGAGGGUAAGCGGGACUGGAGCAGGGAGAUCCCCUGGCGAGCAGCUGGGUUUCCCCUUUCUUUUUUUUUUCUGCAUUUUAACCACCGCCCGCGCCCAGAUCCGGGCUGUAUUUUUGCAUGUCCGCAGCAGACAGGUGGAUUUUUUCUUUUCCAAGGGGGAGCUAACCCUGCUCGGUCUUUUGUGGCGGGGACUCAUAUUUGGGGGCUUUUUCUCGGAAAGCUGUCCUUUCUAUCCUCUCCUCCCUGUUCUGGGCUCUGGGGGCAGAGAGGGUAGAAAAGACACAAAUGGGACAGAAUUGUAGAUUGUGACACGUCAGCUAUAGGAGAGUUGAUAGUAUCUUAAGAGAAGCCCUUCACAUCCACGCAUUUCAUCGUCUUUCAGUCGCAUCGCGCCCCUCUCCUUUAGAUUUCCCCUUUAGCUUUUGUAAAGCUUCCCAUUCCCUUUUCCCCACCGACUUUCCAAAACCCUCUCCCUUGGGGAUGGCAGCAUACGAGCCGCCCCAAGCGCCCUGCCGGACCCUGCUGCUCUCCCUUAGGGGUAGCAUUGGCUGUGCCACCCCGGGCGAGAUGCAGCGUGCCCGGCACCCCCUCCCAAGAUGAUGCUGGCCACGCCACUUGGAACCCGUUUUCCCGCCUUGAUCCUUCUCUUCCGCCCCGAGUUUUCCCGCCAGCCCCACCCCUCCCUCAAGGGCCCUGCACCAUCCUGCAGUGAGGCCAGUCCCUAUUGUUACGAGGCGGGGUUGGAUCAAUCCCUCAGUCCUUCUUCUGGCUCUCCCUGUGGGGGGAAGGAUUGCCAGGGGCACCUCUCGUCAGAGGACCUUUUUUCUUAGGAGAUCAACCCCGUUUUUGGGGGGGGACCUCCUUCGGAGCAAGGUGAAACCAGAAACCUGGAUUGGGAAUCCACCGUUUUGUUUUCCCCCUAAAAUGGUGGCACCCAUGUUCACCCCUUACCGAUUCCCCUUUCUAAUCAUGACAAUCAUUAAUCAAGUGAUUGUCUGAUUUCCCUAUCCCAUCCCUUAAGUGUACCUUACCCAAAGUUCCCUUUUUAUUCCGACGCAAGCCUUUCUUACUACUUUUGCUCAUUUUAAAAUAAUUGCUUUGAUUGAGUUAUAUUUUAUAGAAAGAAAGGUCAUCCUCUUUGAUUAUUGUUCAUAAUGCUGUGCCCACUUUGCAAUCAAACAAUCAAACCAUAGAAGCCACAUCGCUGCUUGCUGCUCCAGCUCUGCAAGAACUUAAACACCACAAGUGUUUCAACAGAUCAAGGCAUGAAUCCUGCUUGUACCUCUAAUCUGGAAGAAUUUGUUUGGGACAAUUUUACAUGUUUUGUUUUAAGUUUUAAAGUAAAGAAAAAUUUUACCCCAUGUAUUAUAAUUAAGAUUGAGUUAUCCUUGUCUGUUGUUUUUCAAUUUAUAAUCUUUUAAUAAUCUGUAAUAUUACUAUAUGACUUUUAUGUUUUAUUAAUUUGUUUAAAUCUCAUAACUCUCUUUCUUUUUGAAAAAAAGGAUUAGAUGUUGAGGCGAGGUUUUUCUCUUUUGUCUAAGGUGUGCGUGUUGCCCUUCCCCCCUGUUCCUUCUCCCGCACCCAGCUGCUGUGUUUCCUGGACUUUUCCCUGCACCUCCCCCUUCUGGGUUUCCCCCCACCCAUUCCCUGCCGCAUCUUAGAUUCGGGUAUAAAAUCUGUGUUCACCCAUCCUGAGGGGUCUUGGGGGCUUCCGGAAUAAAACCACACUGUUCCCCUCCCA